GCGAACUGCGCAAACGUUAUUCGGAAUCACUGGGCUUACAGGGUGCGUAGGCGGCCAGUCAGGUCCGGUGUGAAAUCCCUCAGCUCAACUGAGGAAUGGCAUUGGAAACCGAUUGGCUUGAGUGAGCUAGAGGUGCACGGAACUUCCGGUGGAGCGGUGAAAUGUGUUGAGAUCGGAAGGAACACCAGAGGCGAAAGCGGUGCACUGGAGCUUGUCUGACGCUGAGGCACGAAAGCCAGGGGAGCAAACGGGA
rnacentral:rRNA from 1 species